rnacentral:rRNA from 1 species
AUCUAUAGCCAUACUACCCUCAACCUAACUGAUCUCAGAAGCAAAGCAGGGUUGGGCCUAGUUAGUGCUUGGACAGGAGCAGUUU